CAAAACAGGGAGUAUAACAUGUGAGUUUCCAGCAAAUGCUGAACCUCGGCCUACUCGGGAAAAGUAUAUAUAUCAUUCCACAACAAUCUCCACUCCAAUCCCUUCAUAACACGCCAUAAUUCGAUUGUACUCUAUCUCGCAUUCAUUCGAUUCAAGAAUUGAAAUACAUCAAUACUUCUCAAAUAACUUUACAUCAACGAUAAAAAAAACAGUUAUAAAUAUUAUAUCAUCACACAUUUUGUUAUAUCCC
rnacentral:lncRNA from 1 species